rnacentral:lncRNA from 1 species
UUAUUUGAGUUACUGGUGUUGAGGAUGUUUUCCCCAUUGAGUCUCCACAAAACUCUUUGCAUCUCUAGAGGCAACAUUUGCAUAUCAUGAUCAUUCACAUCAUGCUCAAUCAUGCGUGUUUGACAUUUAAUCUAAAUAUUUGUUGUUAGUCGUCGUUCUUCUAACUCUAAAAGUCUAGCUAUCACUGGCACUCCAAUUGAAAAUCCAAUUGUUGUUGGUACCUCGAAGUUUGGACAUGACCAAUCUCUUCUUUUUCCCU